CAGUCGCCACGGUAAUACGUAGGGUGCAAGCGUUAAUCGGAAUUACUGGGCGUAAAGCGUGCGCAGGCGGUUAUAUAAGACAGAUGUGAAAUCCCCGGGCUCAACCUGGGAACUGCAUUUGUGACUGUAUAGCUAGAGUACGGCAGAGGGGGAUGGAAUUCCGCGUGUAGCAGUGAAAUGCGUAGAUAUGCGGAGGAACACCGAUGGCGAAGGCAAUCCCCUGGGCCUGUACUGACGCUCAUGCACGAAAGCGUGGGGAGCAAACAGGAUUAGUACCCGCGUAGUCCCUGUCUCUUAUACA
rnacentral:rRNA from 1 species